CGGACGGGUGAGUAAUACAUAGGAAUCUGCCCUGUAGUGGGGGACAACUUAGGGAAACUUAAGCUAAUACCGCAUAAUCUCUACGGAGGAAAGGGGGCUUCGGCUCUCGCUAUUGGAUGAGCCUAUGUCUGAUUAGCUAGUUGGUAGGGUAAAGGCCUACCAAGGCAACGAUCAGUAGCUGGUCUGAGAGGAUGAUCAGCCACACUGGGACUGAGACACGGCCCAG
rnacentral:rRNA from 1 species